GGCAAGCUCCGAGCAAUCAUCGGAGUACAAAGAGGCAUUGGAGCGGUCCGACCACAACUUGAAAAAAAUCACCGCCGAGUAUGCCAAAAAGAACGAGCUCAAGGAGAGGGAGCUCGAUAUGCAACUCCUCAGUCUGGAUACGACGCAUAUGAGCGAUGCACAAAGGAUGGCCCACGAGCACAUGGUCCAAGAAAUGCUCAAGCGUCGUGGACUUAUCUAGACUAGG
rnacentral:lncRNA from 1 species